rnacentral:rRNA from 1 species
GAGUUUGAUCGUGGCUCAGGACGAACGCUGGCGGCGCGCCUAACACAUGCAAGUCGAACGGAGUUGUGUUGAAAGCUUGCUGGAUAUACAACUUAGUGGCGGACGGGUGAGUAACACGUGAGUAACCUGCCUCCCAGAGUGGAAUAACGUUUGGAAACGAACGCUAAUACCGCAUAACGUGAGAAGAGGGCAUCCUCUUUUUACCAAAGAUUUAUCGCUGAGAGAUGGGCUCGCGGCCGAUUAGGUAGUUGGUGAGAUAACAGCCCACCAAGCCGACGAUCGGUAGCCGGACUGAGAGGUUGAUCGGCCACAUUGGGACUGAGACACGGCCCAGACUCCUACGGGAGGCAGCAGUGGGGGAUAUUGCACAAUGGGGGAAACCCUGAUGCAGCGACGCCGC